rnacentral:lncRNA from 10 species
UCCCAGCUACUUGGGAGCCUGAGGAGUGAGAAUCACUUGAACCCAGAAGGCGAAGAAUGCAGUGAGCCAAGAUUGUGCCACUGCACUCCAGCCUGGAUGACAGAGCAAGACUCUGUCUCAGAAAAAAAUAAUUUAAAAAGAUGAUUCUUGUUCCCUCCCCAUCCUUACCUUUUUUUAAUGAGGAAAGAGAAUAUUUCCCUGUAUCACUGACUUUGGGCUUGGCUAUGUGACUGCUCUACCCAAUAGAAUUUGGGUAGGUUAAUAGUAAUAGAAGUAACUAAGCAGAACUUUAAAGAAGCUUCUCCUCUUCAACUCUUGCUUAUAAAGCAUUAUAAAAAUCAAUAUAUAUAAAGCAUUAUAAAAAUCAAAUGCCCUAAGUAGUCUGUGUCCUUCAACAUGGGUCCAGGAAUGAGAGACACCUGGAGCACACCUGACUCUCAUCUGUAGUCUAAGGUAGAACUGCUGCAACCAAUUCGCAAAAUUCAUGAGCAAGGAGUAAAUGCUUGCUGUUAUUGGUCAGUAACUUCUUGUCAUGUUUCUUAAGCAUUAUUGGAGCAAAAGCAAACUAAUACAAACGUUAAUGUAAUUCCUUUGCUUGUCAUUGAUUUAGAGAUGAAUAUUUGUCCUGUUUCCAGGUAAUACAAUGUAUUUAGGAAGAAUGCCAAAGGAGGGAGCUUAUUAGUAGGAUUUUGACCUCUAAUGAAAAUGAUGGCCAAAUAUAUGAAAUUUUUUCUUUCUUUGGUUUUUAUUGUUUAAAGACAUAAUUAUUUAAGUUGUGUUAGUUGUGUGUGAUCUUAUAACUGUGAGGAAUUACAUAGAAUGAAAAUGGAAUGUGCUGUGGUGGCAGAACAGAAAGAAGUUGGGUGAUUGACAUUGUUGAGCUGCUGCAGGA